rnacentral:rRNA from 1 species
AUGCAGUCGAGCGGUAAGGCCUUUCGGGGUACACGAGCGGCGAACGGGUGAGUAACACGUGGGUGAUCUGCCCUGCACUUCGGGAUAAGCCUGGGAAACUGGGUCUAAUACCGGAUAUGACCUCCGAUCGCAUGGUUGGUGGUGGAAAGAUUUAUCGGUGCAGGAUGGGCCCGCGGCCUAUCAGCUUGUUGGUGGGGUAAUGGCCUACCAAGGCGACGACGGGUAGCCGACCUGAGAGGGUGACCGGCCACACUGGGACUGAGACACGGCCCAGACUCCUACGGGAGGCAGCAGUGGGGAAUAUUGCACAAUGGGCGAAAGCCUGAUGCAGCGACGCCGCGUGAGGGACGACGGCCUUCGGGUUGUAAACCUCUUUCAGCAGGGACGAAGCGCAAGUGACGGUACCUGCAGAAGAAGCACCGGCUAACUACGUGCCAGCAGCCGCGGUAAUACGUAGGGUGCAAGCGUUGUCCGGAAUUACUGGGCGUAAAGAGUUCGUAGGCGGUUUGUCGCGUCGUUUGUGAAAACCAGCAGCUCAACUGCUGGCUUGCAGGCGAUACGGGCAGACUUGAGUACUGCAGGGGAGACUGGAAUUCCUGGUGUAGCGGUGAAAUGCGCAGAUAUCAGGAGGAACACCGGUGGCGAAGGCGGGUCUCUGGGCAGUAACUGACGCUGAGGAACGAAAGCGUGGGUAGC